GCGGACAGACAGCAACGUUUCCUAAAGAGUUUAAGCCCCAUUUUCAGUCGCGUGGACACCCCAUCUGAAGUUUGAAGGAGACUGAAGUUUGAAUUGGGAACCUGUGGAUGAUGGUUCACCUGCAGUCAAUGGAGGGGGGCACAGCACAAACCAGGUGAGGCAUGGGGUUCAAGGUGAAGCCGACAUCGGCGGUGAGAUCUAGGUCUGACGUAUCCACUCCUGGAGGUGGCUGGAAAACAAAUUUGCGGAGCAAGCCCGCAAAGAAGAGGAACAGCUCCAUUUUGGCCAGUCCUUCUCCAACGCAAGCUCUUCGUCCUGAAAACAACAGGGAGAGAAGUAAAUGAUCAGCGCCGUAACUGUUAGUGUUGAUGCCUGAGACCUAAACUGGAGGUACAGUCCAUAAGAGCAGGCUGCUGAGGCAGUUUUCCUGGUUCAAUGACGUGGUUCAUUUCUUCCUGAAUCUUUCCUUGGAGGGAGGAAAGGAUUAAGAAGCUGAUAACCCUCUUAUCUUGCAACUGAAAUGGCCUCCAGUUCGGCCAAGAUGAAGAAAAGGGAAAACUUGGAGGGGUAUUUGGGACGAGCGGAAGUGGGCAAGUUUGGGAUGAUCGCCUCCUUAUGUGUGCCGAGUGGUAACCUAUUUCGCCCACGUGGGACACCUUGACAACUAGAGCCCUUUAACCAGCAGUUUCAGUGGAGCGAUGGAGCGAGUACAGCACAGCUCCCCGAAUUGCACGUUUUCCUCCCGCCCGCUCGCUCAGGCCCUACCUCUGUCAGCGACUGGAACGGCUUUUUCAGGUCCACCACGUUCAAGUUUCCGAUCAGAGGAAGAGGUCGCGGCCCAGGAGGCAAAUUGCAAACCGACUUCUUCGAGCUGGUCAGGAGGUAAAGCAGAGCGACCAGCCCUGCUGCAAUCCAGAGCAGCGAGCUGGAGCCCAGGGGCAGAGUUAAGGGACGGGACCCACCCGUGCUGGCUUGCUGUCACGGUGCCAGGUCACAGGGCUGAGCUGGACACUGGUGAUGCAAUGGAGGAAGCAGGACGCAGGUGGGAAAGCCCACAGUAAUGCAUGGCCCAGGGUGCAGCUGGCAAGGAAGGCCUGAGGAAGGACAAGGGUGACCAAGGAGGAGUUGGAGCGGCGGUGGCAUGAAGAUGGGCUAAUUCAGGAUUGCAGAUGGGAGUUGGUCUCCACUUACAGGUGACAGCUCUGAUUCUCUUUGCUUUCCUGCCACCCCAGUAAAAUCACCUCCUUGAGAAACACAGUGCUUUCAUUGCUGACACUGUUAUUGAUCUUUGUCCCAAAAUUCCUCUACUGGCAAUCCCAAAAUGCCCCUGAAACCACUUCAGCCACUGUUUUGCAGUUUGCUGUCCAAAGGACUGUGUGCCUGGAUGUCCAUCUCUGUCUCUGAGUUUGAUGAUGACUCUUCACCAGCUGUCCCAACUGUUUAUGCAGUCCUCUAGGAGAAACCGUCCCCUCCAGGCAACCCUUCUGUAGAUUGGGAAAAAGAUGCUGGAUCCUUGUAACCUGGGAGGAGCCAGGAUCGGGCUGUGCCGCUGGCCCGGCAGAGGACGGAGGAGGGAUGCUGCCGGGGUGCCAGCCAGGAGGAGCGCGUGGUGGCAGCUUUGGCACUCCCGGUGCACUGAGUCAUGCACCGUGCCAGGGCAGGGACCUGCAGGAGCCCGCCUGCCCGGGCAAAGCUGCCCAGGAGCCACCCGCACCCUCUGCAUCCUCGGGGGAGGGCGACAAAGCAGAAGUGAUCAUGAACCGCCACAGUUUUAAAUGGUGGCUCUUGGGAAAGGAGCCAGUUUGAUGCUCUAUCACAUAUUCUCAGGUGGGGACAUUUUGCUCCCCAGUUGCAGAUUCUGCCAGGUUACUGGAGUGCUG